rnacentral:rRNA from 1 species
GACGAACGCUGGCGGCGUGCCUAAUACAUGCAAGUAGAACGCUGAAGAGAGGAGCUUGCUCUUCUUGGAUGAGUUGCGAACGGGUGAGUAACGCGUAGGUAACCUGCCUUGUAGCGGGGGAUAACUAUUGGAAACGAUAGCUAAUACCGCAUAACAAUAGGUGACACAUGUCAUUUAUUUGAAAGGGGCAAUUGCUCCACUACAAGAUGGACCUGCGUUGUAUUAGCUAGUAGGUGAGGUAACGGCUCACCUAGGCGACGAUACAUAGCCGACCUGAGAGGGUGAUCGGCCACACUGGGACUGAGACACGGCCCAGACUCCUACGGGAGGCAGCAGUAGGGAAUCUUCGGCAAUGGGGGCAACCCUGACCGAGCAACGCCGCGUGAGUGAAGAAGGUUGUCGGAUCGUAAAGCUCUGUUGUAAGUCAAGAACGAGUGUGAGAGUGGAAAGUUCACACUGUGACGGUAGCUUACCAGAAAGGGACGGCUAACUACGUG